AUUGAACGCUGGCGGCAGGCCUAACACAUGCAAGUCGAGCGGAUGAAGGGAGCUUGCUCCUGGAUUCAGCGGCGGACGGGUGAGUAAUGCCUAGGAAUCUGCCUGGUAGUGGGGGAUAACGUCCGGAAACGGGCGCUAAUACCGCAUACGUACUGAGGGAGAACGUGGGGGAUCUUCGGACCUCACGCUAUCAGAUGAGCCUAGGUCGGAUUAGCUAGUUGGUGGGGUAAAGGCCUACCAAGGCGACGAUCCGUAACUGGUCUGAGAGGAUGAUCAGUCACACUGGAACUGAGACACGGUCCAGACUCCUACGGGAGGCAGCAGUGGGGAAUAUUGGACAAUGGGCGAAAGCCUGAUCCAGCCAUGCCGCGUGUGUGAAGAAGGUCUUCGGAUUGUAAAGCCCUUUAAGUUGGGAGGAAGGGCAGUAAGUUAAUACCUUGCUGUUUUGACGUUACCAACAGAAUAAGCACCGGCUAACUUCGUG
rnacentral:rRNA from 1 species